rnacentral:precursor_RNA from 12 species
UAUAUACUCGAUCUCAAUCAAGGAAAAUGUAAGGAAAGCUUAGGCGUAUGUUAGUUCAUUUAAACCUACGCCUGAUGCUUUCCCAAUCUUCUGGAGUCCGCGGUCGAGGUCAAAUGG